rnacentral:rRNA from 1 species
UACGUAGGGGGCAAGCGUUGUCCGGAAUCAUUGGGCGUAAAGAGCGUGUAGGCGGCUCGGUAAGUCCGCUGUGAAAGUCCAGGGCUCAACCCUGGAAUGCCGGUGGAAACUGUCGAGCUAGAGUCCGGAAGAGGCGAGUGGAAUUCCUGGUGUAGCGGUGAAAUGCGCAGAUAUCGGGAGGAACACCAGUAGCGAAGGCGGCACUCUGGGCCGGUACUGACGCUGAGGCACGAAAGCGUGGGGAGCAAACAGG